CCCGGGUAGAAUUCACAGUUCGACGAAUCGGCAUGGUGCUAUCUUCUACCUUCUCACCUAACUUGUCCGCGUGGAUCAGCUGAGCUCCUACUAUAAGUGGGAGUGCCUUAGGAUGGACGAGUUCACCUUGAGACGUAUCAGUCGCCAUUUUAAAUAAUUUCUAGGCCCGAGUACAGGUUACACUCUGAAGCCUCUGCUGUUAACCACAAGGAUUUUUCCUAAUGGUUUCAGUGUGGUGAAGAAUCAACCUCUGCGUUCGGCCGGUCCUGGCGCCCGCGUCCCGCACGGCCUCUCGGCGCCGCUCCCGCCGCCGCUAGUCGCCUCCGCCACCGCUGUCCUCCAGUCCCAGCCGCCGAGCUCUGCCGCCC
rnacentral:lncRNA from 1 species